AUUGUGGGUGCGCAGCUUCAUCUUCAGCAGACCAAGGAAUCUACUAUUGAGUUAAUACCAACAUCCUUUUCUUUUGGAACUCUACUUUACGCAGAAUGAAAAGGAUGAAGGGAUCAACAAGCAUAUGUGGAAUGAGAAAACUUUUAUAGGAACAAAAAAGUACCAAUGGACUCAAGUUAUUCAGAGAUUGAGCUGUAGUUGCAUUAGACUGUGAUAUGCUCAGAGGUGACCUCUUUGGGGAAACAGGCAUGGUGCAAACUAACAAGACGCAUGGAUCUGGUUCCUACGGCAAUACAAAAUACAAGUAAAGAACUGCAAGAACAAUGAAGAAAGUGAAGGGGUCAACUACCAUACGUGGAAAAAGAAAACACGAUGUUGAAGAUAGAGGUACAAUGAAAACAUACCUGUUGUUCUACAUUCAAACUCAAUCAAAUAUUGACUUAAUAUUUCAUUUGCAAUAUGUACCUGAUUUGCUUUA